GACAAAUCAAAGCUUCUUUAGAAAAUUAAUCUUGGUGUCAAAUCCUUCAUGUGGUUGAACAGAUUUUUCAGUCAUGUGUCCUACAUGCCUUUGCACGGGGAUGGCAAUGGCAAGCGAGCAUGAUCCUUGAAUUGACCCCUUCAAUUAGAGGUGCAUUGCAUCAUUGUGUCUCUUGCCAUCAGCUGAAAAAUGAAAAUGUCCUGUUAGUUGCAUCUUCAAGCUAGUUGUAAGCGUUCCUGUACAUAACUUAUGGUGUACCUGAAAGAAUCAUGUCUUUGCAUCUCUAGCAUACACUGAUUAAUGUUACUUGGAUGUCCAAAUCUUAUGCUUACAAUGCUUAGAAGAUUGCUGAUAGAAACAUCGUACCUGCCCCGGUAUGCAUAAAUCCUUUUGUAUUAUGAGAAUAAUACUUUUCGGCAACUGCGAUUUUGUAUUUUAUCUAAUGAUCUUUCAACUACU